UACGUAGGGUGCGAGCGUUAAUCGGAAUUACUGGGCGUAAAGCGUGCGCAGGCGGUCCGCAAAGUCUGAUGUGAAAGCCCCGGGCUCAACCUGGGAACUGCAUUGGAAACUAACGGGCUCGAGUGUGGCAGAGGGGGGGUGGGGAAUUCCAACGUGUAGCAGUGAAAAUGCGUAGAGAUGUGGAGGAACACCGAUGGCGAAGGCAGCCCCUGGGGCUAACACUGACGCUCAGGCACGAAAGCGUGGGGAGCAAAACAGG
rnacentral:rRNA from 1 species